rnacentral:rRNA from 1 species
AGAGUUGAUCAUGGCUCAGGAUGAACGCUGGCGGCGUGCUUAACACAUGCAAGUCGAACGGAGUUUUAACGGAAGUUUCGGAUGGAAGUUUAGAAACUUAGUGGCGGACGGGUGAGUAACGCGUGGGUAACCUGCCUCAUACAGGGGGAUAACAGUUAGAAAUGACUGCUAACACCGCAUAAUAUAGCGAAACCGCAUGAUUUUGCUAUCAAAUAUUUAUAGGUAUGAGAUGGGCCCGCGUCUGAUUAGCUAGUUGGUGGGGUAAAGCCUACCAAGGCGACGAUCAGUAGCCGGCUUGAGAGAGUGACCGGCCACAUUGGGACUGAGACACGGCCCAAACUCCUACGGGAGGCAGCAGUGGGGAAUAUUGGACAAUGGGGGAAACCCUGAUCCAGCGAACCGCCGCGUGAGUGAAGAAGUAUUUCGGUAUGUAAAGCUCUAUCAGCAGGGAAGAUAAUGACAGUACCUGACUAAGAAGCCCCGGCUAACUACGUGCCAGCCGCUGC